rnacentral:rRNA from 1 species
AGGCGGAUAUAUAAGUCGAGGUGAAAUUCUGAUGCUCAACAUCAGCCGUGCCUUCGAUACUGUAUAUCUAGAGUCAAGUUGGAGUAGGCGGAAUGUGUUGUGUAGCGGUGAAAUGCUUAGAUAUAACACAGAACACCGAUCGCGAAGGCAGCUUACUAAACUUUGACUGACGCUCAUGCACGAAAGCGUGGGGAUCAAACAGGAUUAGAUACCCUGGUAGUCCACGCUGUAAACGAUGAUUACUCGCUGUUGGCGAUACACAGUCAGUGGCUAAGCGAAAGUGAUAAGUAAUCCACCUGGGGAGUACGACGGCAACGUUGAAACUCAAAGGAAUUGACGGGGGCCCGCACAAGCGGAGGAGCAUGUGGUUUAAUUCGAUGAUACGCGAGGAACCUUACCAGGGCUAGAACGCAAGUUGAUUAUGUGCGAAAGUAUAUAUCUCUUCGGAGCAAUUUGCGAGGUGCUGCAUGGUU